rnacentral:rRNA from 1 species
AGAGGGGGCUAGCGUUAUUCGGAAUUAUUGGGCGUAAAGGGCGCGUAGGCGGCCAUGCGUGUCUUCCGUGAAAUCCCUCGGCUUAACUGAGGACGCGCGGAAGAAACUGCAAGGCUCGAGUCCGGGAGAGGGGGGUAGAAUUCCCAGUGUAGCGGUGAAAUGCGUAGAUAUUGGGAGGAACACCGGUGGCGAAGGCGGCCCCCUGGACCGGUACUGACGCUGAGGCGCGAAAGCGUGGGUAGCAAACGGGAUUAGAUACCCCGGUAGUCCACGCCGUAAACGAUGGGCACUUGGUGUCGCGGGUAUCGACCCCUGCGGUGCCGAAGCUAACGCAUUAAGUGCCCCGCCUGGGGAGUACGGUCGCAAGGCUG